rnacentral:rRNA from 1 species
AUUGAACGCUGGCGGCAGGCUUAACACAUGCAAGUCGAGCGCGCGGCGGACGGGUGAGUAAUGUCUGGGAAACUGCCUGAUGGAGGGGGAUAACUCCUGGAAACGGUAGCGAAUACCGCAUAACAUCCGAUGUGCCCAGAGGGGAUUAGCUAGUGGGUGGGGUAAUGGCUACCCUAGGCGAAGAUCCCUAGCUGGUCUGAGUGGCUGACCGGCCACACGGGAACUGAGACACGGUCCAGACUCCUACGGGAGUCAGCAGUGGGGAAUAUUGCACAAUGGGCGCAAGCCUGAUGCAGCCAUGCCGCGUGUGUGAAGAAGGCCUUCGGGUUGUAAAGCACUUUCAGCGAGGAGGCGGUACUCGCAGAAGAAGCACCGGCUAACUCCGUGCCAGCAGCCGCGGUAAUAC